UGGGCGCUAUUACGAACAUUUAUCUAUUUAGCUGACAAAACAAGUAAACUCGGCCAGAACGACUCGGGGGUUUCUAAGAACAUCCCUUCCUAGUUUCUAUAUUUGGAAAUGACUUCGGAAACAGAAACUGCUCCCUAUCCAGUUCCACGUGUUUAACUUCGCUCCCUUUUAACGCAAAAGAAAAGCAUCGGGCAGCAGCAGGACGCUCGCAUGUGAGCGAUUCUACAUACUGCCACCCAUUGAUGAUCAUCAAUAGACUGGAGAAUGUCGGCAAAGAAUUUAACGCACAAUUGGCGUGUGUUGCUGAAAAUGGCAUCUCCCCCUGCACGGCCCCUGCUUACCUAGUAGCGUGACCAUGAAGCAAUGAACGAGCAGAGAGAGUCCUUACCAUGCACAGAGUAAGUCUGCUGCUCUAGACGCUUGCUCAUCUCACCAGCAGGAGCACGUAUAGCGUGCACUUAAAGAAACAAGAUCUCAUUCAAAUCAGCCAGAUGUUUCUUUCAAUCCCACAGUGCUUCUUUAUUCAUUCGAGAUUCCUUUAAAUGUUCAGAAGAAGCCACUGGAGACCUUCCUGUUCCCUUUUCCCAGCAGCUACUUGUUAAAGUAUUUAAAGCUUCCAGCAACCAGAUGCACUUCAUGGCGAUAGAUAAAGAAAACCCAUGCGCCAGGAGUUAAAAAGUCAAACAAGUAACAGCAUUGUCUACAAUUUCAAGAUGCUCUUGGAGGAAGUAAACAAGCAGACAUACAGACGUGAAAAUAAGAACCCUCUUCUUUCCCCCCCUUCCAUGUGACUGCAGAGGCAUAUGACUUCCAUAACUUCAUCGCUCAUUAACCGCUGAUGGCAGGACACAAUUGAGUGAGUGUUUGUAGAACUUGCCCUAGAUAUUCAGAUCUCAGUCCUUGGCUUUGGCUGUUGGGCAGAUCUUCUCCUGUUUCAGAUAGCUUCACCCUGCCUGACAACAGACCGUGCGGAACUUCACAUGAGAGUCCCAUGUAAGGAGUGAACUAUGGGAUGCAAAGGCUAGUUAUGACCAUUUAAAUCCCUUAACAAGCACCACAGAAAAACAAAAGACAGAUUAGCAUGAUUUACCAUGGCAGUGUUAUUAAAUUAGCUCAGACACAUGAGCCAACAAUUGAGUUAUUUAAAUGUGCACAGACAGUGGAAUAGCUAUGUAAGCACUGUGUAGCCUAUUCUUUGUCUAUUAAUGAUUUGGUACACCAGACUUUGUAAGGUCUUGAAUAGAGCUAGUAUUGAUUAGACCAAAAAUACAUAGGAAAUAGGCCUAGGCUAUCUUUAAAAAAAAAAAAACAAUAUUCCCUAUUAGCAUUAAGGUUAUGCUUGAACGACUUUAGGCUAGUCGUUGUGUGGGCUUGGCUGGGAUGUCGUUUAAAGCAAUGCAUUUAUAAAAUGUCUAAUUAAAUGAUUGAUUAUAUUAUGUUGUAUAUUUUAAAAUAACGCUGAUAACUCUCAAACAAUAAAGUGAAAACGAACAAAGUCCUAUUGUUGUCUGUGGUUCGUGUGUAAAUAAAAACUGAUGGUAUGAUGCCACCUAGUGGUUGAUUUCAUGCAUCCAGCAGACCGAUGUCUAGUUUCACUCAGCUUCUUACCUUCAAAUAAAAGACAACAAGCUCUAUUAAUGAACCUGAUGUCAUUUCUGUGUAAUGCUGGGAAUGAGAGCGAGGAUCAGCAUUAGACCUUGAGAAAGGACGCACACCAUUUAUGAGGAGACUUUUAAGGACACGAGGUGGGUGGGAGCUAGAUUUCCUCCUUGGCUUAGAAAAGACAACACAAUAUUUGCCAGCUUCAGAA